rnacentral:rRNA from 1 species
UACGAAGGGGGCUAGCGUUGUUCGGAAUUACUGGGCGUAAAGCGCGCGCAGGCGGUUCUUCAAGUCAGAGGUGAAAGCCCAGAGCUCAACUCUGGAAUGGCCUUUGAGACUAGAGAACUAGGGUACGGGAGAGGUGAGUGGAAUUCCGAGUGUAGAGGUGAAAUUCGUAGAUAUUCGGAAGAACACCAGUGGCGAAGGCGGCUCACUGGCCCGUUUACCGACGGCUCAG